rnacentral:lncRNA from 1 species
UGGAAGUCAAUCAUAGCUGUUCCAGCCCUAACCCCCACCCCCACCCCACUUCCUUUGCCCUUGUAGCCAACAGCCCUGGGGGAGAAGAGAGGGUCUCAUUCCUGCUGCCUGCUACCUCUCCAGCACCAUAUCUACCUGCGUACUGCCACGCUUCCUGUCAUGAAUGGGAUAAAGCUCUGAAACUGUAGGUCAGCCCCAGGUAAAUAGUUUCCUCUCUAAGAGUUGCCAUGGUCACGGUGCCUCUUUGCAAUCAAAACACGGAUAAUGACAGGCCGUAUUUUGAGCUACGCUGACUUUGGCUUAACUGCAGUACUCUAUUAAGCAAUUAACUUAUAUAAAGAAUAUAUCACAAACUGCUCAUAGCCCAGGGUCUUGAUACUGGGCACUGUGAUAUAGCCUCUGUUAGGGUUUUGAAUCUCUGCCCAUGCCUGGACAGAACACAUCCAGCCACCAUGGUUCCUCGUGGAGAGGUUUAAUGAGAGAAGAGUAGAAGAGUGGAAAGGCAGCUGGCCAUCGGCAUGUGUGUGUGUGUGUGGGGGGGGAAGGGGGCAGGAGCAUCGAAGAACAAAGAGCAAGGGGGUGUGAGAAAGGAGGAAGAGAGAGUAAGAGGAGGAGGAGGAGCGGGCAAGCAGCCCCUUAUGUAGUCAGGCACGGCUGGCUGUGCUAGGCAACUGUGGGGCGGAGCAUACCUGGCUGCUACCAGGUAGCUGUGGGGGUGGAGCUUAGACAGAAUACCAACCGCCUCCUUCACAGAGCCAGUCAAAACAGGCUGGGGAGUCUGCAACAGACAUCAGCCGGAGGAGGGACAGAGAGGCCAACUGCCAUUUGGAUUUAACAGGCUUUAAAAGGUUGCCAACUGAGAAAGGAGUUAUGCCGGUGCCCAAUUAUCUAUCUGCCUCCCCUGCUCCGCGGACUCUAUGCUACCAGAGAGAAAUAAAUUAUCCUAGGGCAGAGAUUUGGAAACCUUUGGAACCAUUUACAGACUCUUAGGUUAAAUAUGCUGAGUCGCGUCUUCAGUUACUGGAGGCACAUGUUAGUAUACUGAGCAUUGGCCUAAAGUGCUUUUUAAGAAAGUGAAAUGUACACAUACAAGCUACUAUUUUCCCCUUUGAGUCAGAUGCAUACAUAUUGUUCCUGAACAUUUUCUCUCCAGGAGAAAAUGAAAAACCAUAUUUAAAAAUGAGGAGGAGGAGGAAGAAGAGGAAGAAGAAGAGGAGGAGGAGGAGGAGGAAGAGGAGGAAGAGGAGACAUGGACUCUGAAAUCCUGCCUAAUCUGAACUGUGCUUGGAAAAAUUGGCCGAGUGAUUCUUUACAAAGAACAAAUGUGGGUUAGAGGCUGAUCCUACUCCAAUAGGCCAUCCCUCACGGCCUUGUGCUCACAACACACCUCCCCAUAUUGCUUUCCUCCUCCUUCUCCCUCUCCUCAUGGUCUCUCCUCAGACCCCAAGCCCAGGAACCAAAGCCCUGCUUAUCUCUGCUGGGCUACAGGCUGUCAGCAUCUUUAUUGACAAAUAGUUUUAAAUUAAGGAGCAAGGCUUGUACAAUGAAAGCUGGCAUACGUGAGGACUCACUCAUUUUGAGUCAGCUAGAUCUUGGGAUAUAGAAUUUAGCAUUACAAUACAUAGUGACAGACCAAACCUAACAAUAUGGAGUCAUCAUGUAACCAAGGAGAGAGAAACCCUAAUUAGAUAUCAUAUGCUAUCAAAUAAAAACCCCGCUAUCAGGAG